AAAGGGUCUGUGUCGGUCUGUGUGCUGCUCUUUGCCAGAGACAGAACAGGAAUGGAGUCUUAGAACUUUUAGUGUGGGAAAUUAUGAUGGACCAGAUAAACGAGAGAUACAAAUUGAGGUUUCAGAGUGGUAGCUGUGAUAGUCUGCAUCAGCAAAAACAAUGAGGAGUCCUUGUGCACUGACCUUUAGCACUGACCCUCCC